GACGAACGCUGGCGGCGUGCUUAACACAUGCAAGUCGAACGGAAAGGCCCCAGCUUGCUGGAGUGCUCGAGUGGCGAACGGGUGAGUAACACGUGGGCAAUCUGCCCUGCACUCUGGGAUAAGUUUGGGAAACUGGGUCUAAUACCGGAUAGGACCUUCCUCUUCAUGGGGUUUGUUGGAAAGUUUUUCGGUGCAGGAUGGGCCCGCGGCCUAUCAGCUUGUUGGUGGGGUAAUGGCCUACCAAGGCGUCGACGGGUAGCCGGCCUGAGAGGGUGAUCGGCCACAUUGGGACUGAGAUACGGCCCAGACUCCUACGGGAGGCAGCAGUGGGGAAUAUUGCACAAUGGGCGGAAGCCUGAUGCAGCGACGCCGCGUGAGGGAUGACGGCCUUCGGGUUGUAAACCUCUUUCAGUUGGGACGAAGCGCAAGUGACGGUACCUGCAGAAGAAGCACCGGCUAACUACGUG
rnacentral:rRNA from 1 species